AUACAUGCAAGUCGAGCGAACUUUUGGGAGCUUGCUCCCAAAAGUUAGCGGCGGACGGGUGAGUAACACGUGGGCAACCUGCCUAUAAGACUGGGAUAACUUCGGGAAACCGGAGCUAAUACCGGAUAACAUAUGAGACCACAUGGUCUCAUAUUAAAAGAUGGCUUUUAGCUAUCACUUAUAGAUGGGCCCGCGGCGCAUUAGCUAGUUGGUGAGGUAAUGGCUCACCAAGGCGACGAUGCGUAGCCGACCUGAGAGGGUGAUCGGCCACACUGGGACUGAGACACGGCCCAGACUCCUACGGGAGGCAGCAGUAGGGAAUCUUCCGCAAUGGACGAAAGUCUGACGGAGCAACGCCGCGUGAGCGAAGAAGGUCUUCGGAUCGUAAAGCUCUGUUGUUAGGGAAGAACAAGUACCGUUCAAAUAGGGCGGUACCUUGACGGUACCUAACCAGAAAGCCACGGCUAACUACGUGCCAGCAGCCGCGGUAAUACGUAGGUGGCAAGCGUUAUCCGGAAUUAUUGGGCGUAAAGCGCGCGCAGGCGGUCCUUUAAGUCUGAUGUGAAAGCCCACGGCUCAACCGUGGAGGGUCAUUGGAAACUGGGGGACUUGAGUGCAGAAGAGGAGAGCGGAAUUCCACGUGUAGCGGUGAAAUGCGUAGAGAUGUGGAGGAACACCAGUGGCGAAGGCGGCUCUCUGGUCUGUAACUGACGCUGAGGCGCGAAAGCGUGGGGAGCGAACAGGAUUAGAUACCCUGGUAGUCCACGCCGUAAACGAUGAGUGCUAAGUGUUAGAGGGUUUCCGCCCUUUAGUGCUGCAGCAAACGCAUUAAGCACUCCGCCUGGGGAGUACGGUCGCAAGACUGAAACUCAAAGGAAUUGACGGGGGCCCGCACAAGCGGUGGAGCAUGUGGUUUAAUUCGAAGCAACGCGAAGAACCUUACCAGGUCUUGACAUCCCGUGACAACCCUAGAGAUAGGGCUUUCCCCUUCGGGGGACACGGUGACAGGUGGUGCAUGGUUGUCGUCAGCUCGUGUCGUGAGAUGUUGGGUUAAGUCCCGCAACGAGCGCAACCCUUGAUCUUAGUUGCCAGCAUUAAGUUGGGCACUCUAAGGUGACUGCCGGUGACAAACCGGAGGAAGGUGGGGAUGACGUCAAAUCAUCAUGCCCCUUAUGACCUGGGCUACACACGUGCUACAAUGGAUGGUACAAAGGGCAGCGAAACCGCGAGGUUAAGCCAAUCCCAUAAAACCAUUCUCAGUUCGGAUUGCAGGCUGCAACUCGCCUGCAUGAAGCCGGAAUCGCUAGUAAUCGCGGAUCAGCAUGCCGCGGUGAAUACGUUCCCGGGCCUUGUACACACCGCCCGUCACACCACGAGAGUUUGUAACACCCGAAGUCGGUGGGGUAACCGUAAGGAGCCAGCCGCCUAAG
rnacentral:rRNA from 1 species